UCUUCUCUGCCUUUCUAGAACAUUGAAACCCUAGAUAGAACACUUUCUCUCUCGAUUCUCUCUGCGUAAAUCUUGAGAAUAUCAUCGGCGAUGCAGGCUUUUAUCUACUUUUCCGAUUAACAUCUGAUAACAUCAAGGAAUAAUGAUGAUGAUGGAAUUGAUGAGAAAAAUAUUAUGAAUUGUAAAAGGGUUUUCAAUAAGAAAAGAAAGUAUGCAAUGAAAACCAGUUUGCCGUAAAGAAGGGAACUUGCUGAAGUGGUUUGGUAACAACAGAGGUGAUUUCAAUGUGCAGAUGGCAAUCGAAGUUGAGUUCAGUGGCUCUACGAUUCGGGUUAAUUGGUAACUUGUGUCUAGCAUUUUUGUUCUUCCCAGUGACUCGAGGAUCGUCUAUAUUGUUGCUGUUCGGGCUAACUUCUGAGGCCAGCAUCAAGUAUCACAUAUGGCUAGGCCAUAUUGUUAUGACCCUCUUCACUUCUCAUGGUGUUUGUUACAUUAUUUAUUGGAUAGUCACCAAGUAGACAUCAGAGAAGGCUUGAAAAUAUUCCAACGGUGAAUUCAGAAAAUGAAGAUAAAGCUCAUAAUUGUUAGAAUAUUUUCCACUUCAAAAGUCAACUUCUGUGAUGGUCCAAAAUAAUUGACCAGCACAAAGUUGUAAAUGGGCUGGUAGUUUGUAAUCAAGUCAUAAACAGGUUGUUUUUUUUUUUCAAAAAGGAUGAACCAUGGCAAGCCUCUUGGUGCAGUUCCCACACGUCUGAACGACCUUGCAACUUUAGUUGUCGGGACACACGUACCAAAGUUACGCAACCUUCAUCGCCAACACUGUAUUUGAAGCCACUGAUAACAGUACCAUAGCAUCAACGACAGUGAUCUACAAAAGGUGUUGUGACCCGUUUUCAACCUGAAUUCAUAUUGGCCCUUAAUGAUCCACAGUUAGUUGUUAUCACAUAUUUCUCGAGCUAAGCUGACCUUUAAACAUAUCGGGGUUUUCGUCAGCCAAAAAACUUUAGCAUUUAGUGGUAGCGCGUGGCUACGGUUGUGCGGUGGCUGAAUCGGGUGGUGAUCGGCGGCUGAUUCAUAGCCGUGAAUGGUGACAUAUAGCUGCCAUUCUGGUCAGUUUUGGGCUGAAGCCGUGAAUACAUUUCACUUAACGGGUCGUGCCUUGACCAGGUUCAUAUGCGGACACAAGUGAGAAAGAUGCAAUAUUUUUAUUAGGUGGUUCAUCGAAUCUGAUAUGUUAAGUCCAGUUUGACAAUCACAUUAGAGUUUCUUUUAUUAUAUACAAUUUUGAAUGAUAAUUAUCAAAAGUGGUGUGAUCUUAACUUUUGUUAGUUUUGAAGUAUUUGUUUAGAAAAGCAAUCUUUCAUCGUCAAGUUUAGCCAAAUGACAUUAAUAUUUAAAAGUACAUUCUCA